rnacentral:rRNA from 1 species
GAUGAACGCUGGCGGCGUGCCUAAUACAUGCAAGUCGAGCGAACAGACGAGGAGCUUGCUCCUCUGACGUUAGCGGCGGACGGGUGAGUAACACGUGGAUAACCUACCUAUAAGACUGGGAUAACUUCGGGAAACCGGAGCUAAUACCGGAUAAUAUAUUGAACCGCAUGGUUCAAUAGUGAAAGACGGUUUUGCUGUCACUUAUAGAUGGAUCCGCGCCGCAUUAGCUAGUUGGUAAGGUAACGGCUUACCAAGGCAACGAUCCGUAGCCGACCUGAGAGCGUGCUUCCGCACUCUAGAAUGAUGACACCGCAGAGACUCCUCAGGGACUCAAUGGAAACAGACAUACCACCAUGAGCGAAAGCUUGACGGAGCAAACACGCCCAAGUGACGCAGGUCCUCGCAUCGUAAAAAUCUGUUAUAUGUGAAGAUCUUGUCUGUCCGUAACUAUGCACGUCUUGACCAUCCCCAACCAGAUAGCCACCGCCCACGACGUG